rnacentral:rRNA from 1 species
UUAUAAAUAUUAAAUCUAUUAAAUAUAAUAUAUAACUCGCUCUUUGAAAAAAAAAUCGAAUUGUUUAAAAUUAUAAAAAUAAUUAAAAAUAUCAAUAAAAUUGAGAAUCAUAAUUAAUUUAGAUUUUUAUAUUUAUA